rnacentral:tRNA from 1 species
GACACUGUAGCUUAGUGGUUAAAGCACCUGUCUCGUAAACAGCAGAUCCCCAGUUCAAAUAUGGGCAGUUCCU